UGCCGGCUUUCCACCAGCCGGCGCGAUUACCGAAGAGGCUUGUCCUUCAUUGCCAGGUGUGCGGGCGGGAUCACUCCCAACCAAUCCACGGCAGAACAGUUCGGUCUGAGUGUUUUCCACGCUGCGCUUCCAUCGCGCGACGUGGCCGAAGCGCUUUG
rfam:Rhodopseudomonas palustris BisB18, complete genome.